GCUUUAUAGUGGAAAAAAGACGUCAAAUUGCAAAUUUGAAGAUGUAGUGAUUACUAAAGCUUA
rnacentral:tRNA from 1 species